rnacentral:rRNA from 1 species
AACACGUGAGUAACCUGCCCUUGACUCUGGGAUAAGCCUGGGAAACUGGGUCUAAUACCGGAUACGACCAUCUGGCGCAUGUCAUGGUGGUGGAAAGCUUUUGUGGUUUUGGAUGGACUCGCGGCCUAUCAGCUUGUUGGUGGGGUAAUGGCCUACCAAGGCGACGACGGGUAGCCGGCCUGAGAGGGUGUCCGGCCACACUGGGACUGAGACACGGCCCAGACUCCUACGGGAGGCAGCAGUGGGGAAUAUUGCACAAUGGGCGCAAGCCUGAUGCAGCGACGCCGCGUGAGGGAUGACGGCCUUCGGGUUGUAAACCUCUUUCAGUAGGGAAGAAGCGAAAGUGACGGUACCUGCAGAAGAAGCGCCGGCUAACUACGUGCCAGCAGCCGCGGUAAUACGUAGGGCGCAAGCGUUAUCCGGAAUUAUUGGGCGUAAAGAGCUCGUAGGCGGUUUGUCGCGUCUGCUGUGAAAGACCGGGGCUCAACUCCGGUUCUGCAGUGGGUACGGGCAGACUAGAGUGCAGUAGGGGAGACUGGAAUUCCUGGUGUAGCGGUGAAAUGCGCAGAUAUCAGGAGG